rnacentral:ncRNA from 1 species
AUGAAGGCAAUGGGAGACAUCAAUUUAUGAUGGCCGAAGAAGAAAUGCGGUAUCUGCCGGGAUACCUGCAGAAACUUUCAGGCAAAAGUAUCGUUGUCUGAUG